UUGACAUCGAAUCACGUAGGAAUACCCCCUGAAAUUAAGCAUAUCAGUAAGAG
rnacentral:rRNA from 1 species